rnacentral:rRNA from 1 species
GAUGAACGCUGGCGGCGUGCCUAAUACAUGCCAGUCGAGCGAACAGACGAGGAGCUUGCUCCUCUGACGUUAGCGGCGGACGGGUGAGUAACACGUGGAUAACCUACCUAUAAGACUGGGAUAACUUCGGGAAACCGGAGCUAAUACCGGAUAAUAUAUUGAACCGCAUGGUUCAAUAGUGAAAGACGGUUUUGCUGUCACUUAUAGAUGGAUCCGCGCCGCAUUAGCUAGUUGGUAAGGUAACGGCUUACCAAGGCGACGAUGCGUAGCCGACCUGAGAGGGUGAUCGGCCACACUGGAAUUGAGACACGGUCCAGACUCCUACGGGAGGCAGCAGUAGGGAAUCUUCCGCAAUGGGCGAAAGCCUGACGGAGCAACGCCGCGUGAGUGAUGAAGGUCUUCGGAUCGUAAAACUCUGUUAUUAGGGAAGAACAAAUGUGUAAGUAACUAUGCACGUCUUGACGGUACCUAAUCAGAAAGCCACGGCUAACUACGUG